UUUAAUGCAAAAGUAAAUAUGGUAUUAAUCAGCGAAACUGACAUCAAAGCCAGGAUCAUUUAAAUCGUAAUGGUUGAAUUAAAUUGAAACAAUUAUCUAGUACACAUCCUAACGACUAUAAUUUCUACCGUAAGUAUAUUAUAAAUCAAAAGUAAAUAGGUUGAAAACCCAUCAAAAAAAUUUAAGGCUCAAAGGAGAAUUUGAGCCCUCCUUGACCCUUCAUCCAGUCUUCUCCAACAAUUCGAAGACGACCAUACUGACUACCACCUCCGUUCGCUCCUAGAUAAGCUUCACUAAAAGAACAAACAAUAAGUUUUUUUGCUUGUCUUCCAUAUAUUCGUAAUAGAGAUUGACCAGCAAUAUCAAGAUACGUUGAGACGAUAGAGCAAAGAGUUUGCCCUAGUUCCAAGUCCGAUUUCAUUAAUUGUGAAGGGGAUGGAAGAUUCAGCAAUCGAGAAAAUGUUCUCCAGCUCUCGGGAGCUAAGCUAUCGUCUAAAGAAAGUAUAGCAGCGUAAACUGCAAAAAUUCCGCACUGUCGCUCGUUGUAUGUAGUAUUUUGUUCCCAAUGGCCAUCAGAUAGCUUUUUAAAUCCCAUUUUCUUUUUACCAUUCUCCGUACCGUGAUCAUACCAAAACGGUAUAACCCAAGGACAGUUCUUCUGUAGGCGAGCAAAAAGAAGAUCUUUAAGGUCGGCGUUUUGUGUUUGUAAUAAAAGGCAAACUUUUGCCAAAGGAUAAGCGCUAAUUGGGUUUACAGCAACUUCUGCUUCUG